rnacentral:tRNA from 1 species
GAGGGUAUAACUCAGUGGUAGAGUGCAUGCUUAGCAUGCACGAGGUCCUGGGUUCAGUCCCCAGUACCUCCA